UGUUUGAUGUUCUAACGUGGACCCGUGAUCCGGGUUGCGGACAGUGUCUGGUGGGUAGUUUGACUGGGGCGGUCUCCUCCUAAAGAGUAACGGAGGAGCACGAAGGUUGGCUAAUCCUGGUCGGACAUCAGGAGGUUAGUGCAAUGGCAUAAGCCAGCUUGACUGCGAGCGUGACGGCGCGAGCAGGUGCGAAAGCAGGUCAUAGUGAUCCGGUGGUUCUGAAUGGAAGGGCCAUCGCUCAACGGAUAAAAGGUACUCCGGGGAUAACAGGCUGAUACCGCCCAAGAGUUCAUAUCGACGGCGGUGUUUGGCACCUCGAUGUCGGCUCAUCACAUCCUGGGGCUGAAGUAGGUCCCAAGGGUAUGGCUGUUCGCCAUUUAAAGUGGUACGCGAGCUGGGUUUAGAACGUCGUGAGACAGUUCGGUCCCUAUCUGCCGUGGGCGCUGGAGAACUGAGGGGGGCUGCUCCUAGUACGAGAGGACCGGAGUGGACGCAUCACUGGUGUUCGGGUUGUCAUGCCAAUGGCACUGCCCGGUAGCUAAAUGCGGAAGAGAUAAGUGCUGAAAGCAUCUAAGCACGAAACUUGCCCCGAGAUGAGUUCUCCCUGAGACUUAGAGUCUCCUGAAGGAACGUUGAAGACGACGACGUUGAUAGGCCGGGUGUGUAAGCGCAGCGAU
rnacentral:rRNA from 1 species